GCGAUGAACCAGGCUGCCGCUUGGCCUUUUGGUCGGGAGGAAAGUCCGGGCUCCGCAGGGCAUGAUGCCGGGUAACAACCGGGAUCAAUUCAGUGUCAAAACUGGAUUGGGACAGACAGCGCCACAGAAAAAAUACCGCCUGAUCGCAUAAUUUUUGGUUAUGUGGCCGGGUAAGGGUGAAAAGGCGGGGUAAGAGCCCACCUCGGCAAUAGCAAUAUUGACGGAAAGGCAAGCCUCAUCAGGAGCAAAGUCAAGUAUGCGUGGUAACCGGUUUGCCGGUUAUGCCGGCUGCCCGCCGGUUAAACGCGGGUAGACUGCUAAAAAGCGCCGGAAACGGCUCUUUAAGACAGAUGGCAGCGAUGAAAAAGUCCCGAAAGGGAUGAUUUCAACAGAACCCGGCUUAUGGUUCAUCGUUUUU
rnacentral:RNase_P_RNA from 1 species